rnacentral:misc_RNA from 1 species
AUUCGGUACUCUGAACAGAAUGAAUUUGCUUCCACUAAUGCUGGUUGGACUCUGGGCGGCAGAGUCUUACGCAAGAAUGUAAACCCUAAUGGUUCGGUGGCAAUGGAUUACUUGGCCGAUGAAUGGGCCACAGCAGUGAGCAGGUACCCGCCACUAUCCAUUGAACUUGGCGAUAAAAUGGGAAAACUUUUUAACAAAAAUUUCAAACAUCUGGAGUGAUCUAUGGACUCUACAUAUUGGCAAAACUGCACCAUCAGAUGUUGGAGCGGGGUGACGAUCUUAUUGAAGACACAGAGGAAUGCCGUGAAAACUUACAACCAAAGAUUGAACUGUUAAAAUCAAACAUUAACCUACAACCAAUUGGCUUGGACGAAGAUUUGGACUCACUCAUCAGACAGUGCCAGGUAUUCUUAAGCUUAUCACCUGGAAAUGUGGCGAUCCCUACACCGGACCUGGACCGCGAAUACGCUGGUACCGUCAAUCUGGGCUCCUGAAAUUGGCUGUUUCCAUCGAUCUGAACGAUCUGAGCAACGAAUAUUGCUGAGCGCUAACGAAAAAUGCCACUCCGGGACGCAGGAUCUACACGUCGAAAACCACAAUGCGAAAAAGCUAACUUGAUGCGUUUUAACAAGAUCUCUUUAUAGAUGUAGCGAGAUUUAUUUGGUAACAUAACAAUUUUUCCCCAAUUUUUCGGCAAUUGUAAGUCCGAGGCGCAGGAUAUAGACGCCGAAGACCACGAAGCGAAACGGCUGGUGAAGCCAGCUUCGGGGGUAUUAAACAGCUAGCUUGAUGCUUCUUCCGUUUUAAAAAAGUCAACUUCAGAGGCUUAAUAUGAUGUUUUUAUAGAUAUAUAGAGAUUAUGUAUGUUUUCACAUCGCAGAACCUCGGUGCAUUGCCAGCAGAACAAAUAGUGCCUCAAAGAUAAAAUGAAAAGAUUAUUCAAUAAUAAUUACAAUAAUAAUAAUGAUGAAAAUAUUACCGUGAUGGAAUGUAGUGCACGCAUAGAAUUGUGUAUGAGGAGUACGGUAAAAUAACAAAAAAUGUUUAUAAAUUAUACCAAGGUGUUGGAGUUUCUGUUGUAAAAACAGUCAAUUUGGAAAAUAUUGUCGUUAUUCUAAUGAACGUUGUAUAUUUAAACACAUGGCCGAGAAAAGAAAUGGGGACACAUGUGUAGAGUUUAUCUAUGUAAAAUUACGACACUAUGCCACAGGUAAUACCGUUUUUUCGAAAGAUCAACAAUCCUUUUUUUCCAAUAUCAUUGCUCGUUAAGUAUAUAAGGUUCAGAUUAUUUGACGCUGACCGCUAGUAUGAUAUAUGUUUACGAUACAAUAUACGGUACGACAUAUAUUUUAAAAAAUAUGAGGUGGUGCCUGGCGAUGUUGUUUUUUGGACUCACGUCUACAGUAUGUUCUGGACACAUGUGCGAGCCCGUUUAUGGGGUGGACUUCGAAUUGCUGACCUCUGCAUAUGCGGCGGGUGCUGAAAGUUUUCCAACACCGACUAUCGAGUAUCAUGAUCGCUCAGCGUGCAAAUUUGGAAUGAAAUACACGAAUAACGUGAUGUCAUACAUCGAGUCACUUUUCCUCAAUGUAUACCUUCAGGCUGAUCAGACAGGUCAUCAACUGAUCAAGGCUAUCAAAGAUUGCUCUAAUGUGUUAAGAGGAGCGAUCUUAUCCAUUGGGAACAUUCAAGAGACACACACCAGUAUAGAAGAAAGUUUGAUAUCGCUGAUUGGACAGGUUAACGUAUUUUUGAGUCUAUUUCCUGGAAACGUGGACGUCAAAUUGACGACUCUAUCCGAUUUACCUGCGGAACAAGUAACUAUCCCGCUCUCCAUUGACAAGGAGCAUUCAGCGGCUGAUUUGUUUCUCCAUUGGGCAGAAACAGCAGACUCGGUUUUCGUCAGAUUGUAUGGGUACAUUACUGGAAUGUUCCUAUCCGGCUGGAGUAACGCUAGGUUGUAUUUCAACGUCGUUGGAACACAAAUUCGUAACCAGGUUCUGACUUCAACAGCCUUGACUAACUACAAGAUUGCCAUUGCCGAAGUGCUCAGUCAGUCUGAUCUAAUUCAAAGUCACUGCACAAACGAAACAUGGGGAUUAUUCCAAGAAGUCGCUUCCGAAGUAGCUGCAAUUUCGCACAACGUGCAAGACGCGUUGGAAAACUAUGCCACAUGCCUUGCAUAAUAUAACACUGUGCACUACCUUUGUAUCCAUCGUUAAAUGAAAUGAAUGUAUUGCUUUAUCCAAUUUGCUUGAUAUGAAAAUAUAAUAUUUCUCAAUAUACUCUCUUGGCAACUGAA